rnacentral:rRNA from 1 species
GACGAACGCUGGCGGCGUGCCUAAUACAUGCAAGUCGAACGCAGUGGGGACGGUUGAUUAACACGUGGGUAACCUCCCAUCAGAGGGGAUAACCCUUGGAAACAGGUGCUAAACUGAUGCUGAUGGAUGAACCCGCGGUGGAUUAGCUAGUGGGUGGGGUAACGGCUCACCAAGGCGACGAUGCAUAGCCGGCCUGAGAGGGUGAUCGGCCACACUGGGACUGAGACACGGCCCAGACUCCUACGGGAGGCAGCAGUAGGGAAUAUUGCACAAUGGACGAAAGCCUGACCGAGCAACGCCGCGUGAGUGAAGAAGGCUUUCGGAUCGUAAAACUCUGUUGUUAGAGAGGCGGUACCUACCGAAAAAGCAACGGCUAACUACGUGCCAGCAGCCGCGGUAAUUC